rnacentral:rRNA from 1 species
AUUGAACGCUAGCGGGAUGCUUUACACAUGCAAGUCGAACGAGUGGCGGACGGGUGAGUAAUAUAUCGGAACGUGCCCAGGAGCGGGGGAUAACUACUCGAAAGAGGCGCUAAUACCGCAUUCUAUUGUAAAGGCCGAUAUCGGAUUAGCUAGUUGGUGGGGUAAAGGCUCAUAAGGUCAACAAUCCGUCGCUGGUUUGAGAGGAAGACCAGCCACACUGGGACUGAGACACGGCCCAGACUCCUACGGGAGGCAGCAGUGGGGAAUUUUGGACAAUGGGGGAAACCCUGAUCCAGCCAUCCCGCGUGUAUGAGAAGGCCUUCGGGUUGUAAAGUACUUUUGGCAGAGAAGCGGUAUCUGCAGAAUAAGCACCGGCUAACUACGUGCCAGCAGCCGCGGUAAUUC